rnacentral:tRNA from 1 species
GCGGGUAUAGUACAACGGUAGUAUUAGCGGUUUCCACCCGAUAGAUAAGAGUUCGACUCUCUUUAUCUGCUCCA